CCCAUUUCAGCGUUCUAUCCCCAUUUCAGCGUUUUAUCCCCAAUUCAGCGUUUUAUCCCCAUUUCAGCGUUUUAUCCUCAUUUCAGAGUUUUAUCCCCAUUUCAGCGUUUUAUUCCCAUUUCAGCGUUUUAUCCCCAUUUCAGUUUCGGCUUUCAGUUUCUGUUUCCGCGAUUCAGUUUCAGCGUUUUAUCCCUACCCCUUAAAAUAUCGGUCGGUCACGGACAUUGGUCCGACCCAUUCGUGAAAU